GCCUCAGUUUCCCCUAGGCAGUUCUUAAGUAUCUAGGGGGUGGGGUAAGGGUGUAUGAUCAUUGCAGAGCCCUAGAGGGCAGGUGUGUGCAGGAGUCUGGACACAGAGAAUGGCCGACACCCUGUUUCCUGGCAACUGAUGGCCUGGGCCCUUCCCCCCUGCAAGGUGAGAGCUAAAGGGUUGGAGAACAAAGGAAUCAGGUGACCUCCUGGCCCGGAAAGGGACAAAGCCCAGAGGAGGAGGGGCUGGAGGGAGUUUCAGUUUGGGGCUGGCUGGGACAUGGAGUGAAGAGACGGGAUUGUCUGGCUCACUGCCCCCCAAAAUGGACCCGGCUGAGGGGUCCUGUUCUCUGCACCUACAAGCUCUGUGUUAGACCAUGUUCCUGUCAUCUAAUAAACCGUCUGUUUUACUGGCUGGCUGAGAGUCCCGUCUGACUGCAGAGUUGGGGGGCAGGAUCCUCUGGCUUCCCCAGGAGCCCCACCUGAGCGGACUCGCUGUGGGAAGCGCACGGAGGGGCAGAGGAUGCUGAAUGCUCCGAGGUCAGACCCAGGAAGGUGGAAGCUGGAUGAGCUGUGUGUCCUGCAGACAGGCUGCUCCCAGAAAGGAGACUUCCCCAGAGACCUGACUGGCUUCAUGGGGAGCAGUUCCAGAGCAUCGCCCAGGGACUCCGUGACAACGGGAUACUGGGCCAAGCAAACUAGGGGGAUUGAGGAAAAUAUUCCAGUGUCUGUGACGCUUGCUCCCUUUGCCUGCUAAGACAUCCCACUGUUAUUCGUGAUUAAUUAUUGAACACUGGCUGGAGGGGGAUUGGGGUGUCAGUAACAGUCCUCAGACGGCGCUCCCCUCCCCUCUUCCCCGCCAGGCCCUGCACAUCGAUUCCCUGCCUCCUUCACAGGCCAGCACAGCCAGGGAAUCGAUGUG